AUGAGUUGGAACGUCAGGGGAUUGAACUCCCCAGCCAGGAGAUUUGCAGUGCGUGAGCUAGAUGCUUCCCUCAGGGCCACCAUCCUUUGCCUGCAAGAAACAAAGCUGGACUCCUGGACUGCUAGCACCGUCCACGACCUAGGGGCCACUGUAAUGGAAGGCUGCGUGGUGCUAUCGGAGACGAGCACCAGGGGAAGGGCAGCCAUCCUAUGGAACAAGCUUGUAGUUGACUUGAUCACCCACACCGUUGGUUGCUUCUCCGUCACAGCCAAGGUGACGGUCCUGCACAGCAACGCGUCCUCCUGGCUGACGACAGUCUACGGCCCGGCCGAUGACGCCCGCAAAGAUGCAUUCCUGGCCGAGCUAUCCCAGGUUGCCCCGCCCUCGGGAGAGCCUUGGAUCAUCACAGGCGACUUCAACAUCAUAUAUGAAGCCCGAGACAAGAACAAUCUGAAU
rnacentral:rRNA from 1 species